UGUCGCUUAGAGGAUGAGAUACGGGCCGAGUCUAAUUGUCUGACGCGCUUUGUCAAUGGAUCAGCUGAGACGGGAAUCGAUUAGGAAAAAACGUGCUUUAAUACUAAAGAAACAAUCAACAAAACGAUACCAACUGAAGAAACAGCGAUCACUGGACUUAAAGAGUAUGUGUACAUGCGGUCAACAAAAAAUACGGCGACCCACUCAAAACCUCUUCCCUCGUGAACACAGGUGACCAGGUGCUUAAAUCAACUGAGUGACACCGCCCCUAUUCCCGUGACCCGGAUUCCACAAAUCACUGCCACCAAUCACAACAAAAUACCAAAACAAACCAAGAGCAUAACCACAAACCUUUACCUUGCGGCUCCUACAACUGGUAUUAAAAUGUUACAUUUUCAUAAACUCACUUUGUAAAUACUGUACCUUCUUUUUCAGUUUUAAAUUUAACCAAUAGUGAAAGAGGGGUGCAGGCUGUGAAAGAUUAACUUAUGCAGAGUUCUCAAACUUUUUUUGUGCAGCUGGUCGCAUAGAGUCCGAGUAAAGCACGUGAUCCAAAAUGAUGAAAAGAGCAUGUGGCUGGUGGGCGAAGACAAUGGAAAAGUUGAGAUUGGCUUCAUUGUGAGUUCUAAUCUAAAUUUAAACCUAAAGUUUUUUUUUCCUCCCUUUUUUUUUCAUUCAUUGAUUUUGACUUGUGCCUCUGUUCGGUCUUUCCUCAGUUUACAAUGGGCCCUGAACAAAGUUUGGAUACAAAUUUUGGUCAUAUGGAUAUGAAAACUGGAGACGAGGAGAAGGAGGAGAAGAGACAGAUCACAGCUGUAACUAUUAACAAAGGUAGGAACAUCUAGUAGUCAUACUGUCUAUCAUCUACUUUUAACUCUAGUUAUAACACUAACAACUGGACCUGCUGUGUUUUUCAUUUGCUUAUAGAUUUGAUUGUGUGCGGGGACGAGAAGGGCAACAUGUGGUUCAUGACCUCUCAAGAACCUUCCAAGUGGCAGAGCAGAAAACUUGUAAGAGCUCAGAAAAACAUGACUAAAAACUCCAAUCACAGCUCACACUUGUUUUAGGAACAAGUUUUUUAUUUCAUUUGCAGUUUAUUUUAAUUACAUAUAAUAAUCGCAACACACAGAAACUUUGAUUUUGAUGACAAUGCAGUUGAAUCCAGACCUUUUAUUUUCACCAAGUGUACUAUUUCUGCACAACUUUUAACUAAAGGUGUAAAAUGUAAUGGAGCUUUAAGAGCUGAAAUGAGCACCUGUCGGACAACAUCUGUAUUUAACUGAUUUUAAUAUUUAAUAUUUUUAAUCCUCAGGCCCACAGUGACAGGAUCAGUGUGCUCAGACUCACAGACAGCACCAUCAUCUCCGCCUCCUAUGACAGGACGGUGAAGCUGUGGGACAGAAACACCAAGAAACAGGUACGUUAGAGUCUUAAACUUAUGUUAGUUGUCUUUAUUUUCACAAAACAAGAUUUCUGUAAGGAUUUAGCAAACCAGAUUAAAAAAAGGGUGAAUUGUAUCUGUGAAAAACAUAGCUGGUUGUUAGUUGAGCCAACCCACUGCUGACUUUAGCUCCUUGUUUAACUUACCCUCGACUUCUCUUCUCCUCCUCCAGGUGGGGAUGUUUGUGUGUAGAGCUGCUGUUCUGCUUUUGGAGGUAAACCCUGUAAAACCCACUGUGCUGGUCUGCGGUGACAGAUGGGGGAAACUCUACUUUCUCUCCUGGAAGGAAUAAUCCAGAACAUAUUAUGCACUAUCAAAGAAAGCCUGAAAUGUUUUGCUUUUUUUGCUAGGGAUACAAGCUAUGUAAUAGCUGUUAAUUCAAGUUAACAUGUGCCUUUACUGCAGAUAUUAAGUAACUUGCAGAUGUAAUAUGCAAGUAUAAAAUACCUUGAAAAGCAUCUAUUUUGAUUUCAUGGGCUUUAUUAUUUUAUGUUAUUUUAUGUUUUAUUGUAACCGGAAGAAAAAUAUGGAUGUGGGAUAUUGAAACACUUAAAGUGGAAACAUAUCUUGCACAUUAAAAUUAUGUUUAUCAUCA
rnacentral:lncRNA from 1 species